rnacentral:rRNA from 1 species
UACAGAGGGGGCAAGCGUUGUUCGGAAUUACUGGGCGUAAAGGGCGCGCAGGCGGUCUGGUAAGUUUGGAGUGACAGUGUUCGGCUUAACUGAGCAAGGCCUUCGAAAACUGCUAGACUUGAGCACUCAAGAGGGACAUAGAAUUCCGGGUGGAGUGGUGAAAUGCGUAGAUAUCCGGAGGAAUACCAAAGGCGAAGGCAGUGUCCUGGGGAGUGUCUGACGCUCAGGCGCGAAAGCUAGGGGAGCGAACAGG